AUGAUUAGCUAUGCAAAUGAAUUUGGCAGGCAUAGAUUGCAAUGUUUGGAGUUUUGUAGACUGGUUUUUGUAGCAGCAAAGGUGCAGAUUUUUGUCUUAUGGGCUGCAUUUUGGACUGUUUUGCAGGGCAGAUUAGGACAUCAACUUGGCAUGGUUUUUGUUGAAACAAGGUUGGAGAAAAUGGACAGCAUUAUACUCAAGAAUUGGACUGUUAUUGGAUUAAAAUAA